UCUACGGGUGGCAGCAGUGGGGAAUAUUGGGCAAUGGGCGCAAGCCUGACCCAGCAACGCCGCGUGAAGGAAGAAGGCUUUCGGGUUGUAAACUUCUUUUCUCAGGGACGAAGCAAGUGACGGUACCUGAGGAAUAAGCCACGGCUAACUACGUGCCAGCAGCCGCGGUAAUACGUAGGUGGCAAGCGUUAUCCGGAUUUACUGGGUGUAAAGGGCGUGUAGGCGGGGACGCAAGUCAGAUGUGAAAACCACGGGCUCAACCUGUGGCCUGCAUUUGAAACUGUGUUUCUUGAGUACUGGAGAGGCAGACGGAAUUCCUAGUGUAGCGGUGAAAUGCGUAGAUAUAAGGAAGAACACCAGUGGCGAAGGCGGAUUACUGGACGAUAACUGACGGUGAGGCGCGAAAGCGUGGGGAGCAAACAGGAUUAGAUACCCCAGUAGUC
rnacentral:rRNA from 1 species